UCCUCCUGUAGCAUAGUGGUUAGAGCACUCGCCUCAAAAGCGAGAGGAUCCGGGUUCAAUUCCCGGGCGGGGUGAA